rnacentral:rRNA from 1 species
ACGGCAGCACGGAGAGCUUGCUCUCUGGUGGCGAGUGGCGAACGGGUGAGUAAUAUAUCGGAACGUGUCCAAUAAUGGGGGAUAACGAGUCGAAAGAUUCGCUAAUACGGCAUACGCCCUACGGGGGAAAGCAGGGGAUCGUAAGACCUUGCGUUAAUGGAGCGGCCGAUAUCUGAUUAGCUUGUUGGUGAGGUAAAGGCUCACCAAGGCGACGAUCAGUAGCUGGUUUGAGAGAACGACCAGCCACACUGGAACUGAGACACGGUCCAGACUCCUACGGGAGGCAGCAGUGGGGAAUUUUGGACAAUGGGGGCAACCCUGAUCCAGCCAUUCCGCGUGAGUGAAGAAGGCCUUCGGGUUGUAAAGCUCUUUCGCAAGGGAAGAAAACUUAUGAUCGAAUAAAUCAUGAGGUUGACGGUACCUUGAUAAGAAGCACCGGCUAACUACGUGCCAGCAGCCGCGGUAAUACGUAGGGUGCGAGCGUUAAUCGGAAUUACUGGGCGUAAAGCGUGCGCAGGCGGUUUUGUAAGUCGGAUGUGAAAUCCCCGGGCUCAACCUGGGAACUGCGUUCGAAACUGCAAGGCUAGAGUGUGUCAGAGGGGGGUAGAAUUCCACGUGUAGCGGUGAAAUGCGUAGAGAUGUGGAGGAAUACCAAUGGCGAAGGCAGCCCCCUGGGAUAACACUGACGCUCAUGCACGAAAGCGUGGGGAGCAAACAGGAUUAGAUACCCUGGUAGUCCACGCCCUAAACGAUGUCAACUAGUUGUUGGUAGAGUAAAAUCUAUGAGUAACGUAGCUAACGCGUGA